rnacentral:rRNA from 1 species
GACGAACGCUGGCGGCGUGCCUAAUACAUGCAAGUCGAGCGAACAGAAAAGGAGCUUGCUCCUUUGACGUUAGCGGCGGACGGGUGAGUAACACGUGGGCAACCUACCCUAUAGUUUGGGAUAACUCCGGGAAACCGGGGCUAAUACCGAAUAAUGUCUUUUGCUUCAUGGUGAAAGACUGAAAGACGGUUUCGGCUGUCGCUAUAGGAUGGGCCCGCGGCGCAUUAGCUAGUUGGUGAGGUAACGGCUCACCAAGGCGACGAUGCGUAGCCGGCCUGAGAGGGUGAUCGGCCACACUGGGACUGAGACACGGCCCAGACUCCUACGGGAGGCAGCAGUAGGGAAUCUUCCACAAUGGGCGAAAGCCUGAAGGAGCAACGCCGCGUGAGUGAAGAAGGUUUUCGGAUCGUAAAACUCUGUUGUAAGGGAAGAACAAGUACAGUAGUAACUGGCUGUACCUUGACGGUACCUUAUUAGAAAGCCACGGCUAACUACGUGCCAGCCGCCGCCGUAA